AAAAUGCANUUCGAACGCGAAAGGCUCCUUCNGGGGCCGAGUAGAGUGGCGCACGGCCUGUUAUAACACGAUAGGUAAUUUGCCUUUGGGUGGGGAAUAACUCAGGGAAACUUGAGCUAAUACCGCAUAAUGCAGCGGCUCGACAUCGAGACAGUUGUUAGAGCGGGGGAUUGGAGCAAUCCGACCUCGCGCCUGAAGAGAAGCCUGCGGCAGAUUAGCUAGUUGGUAAGGUAACGGCUUACCAAGGCGACGAUCUGUAACCGGCCUGAGAGGGCGGUCGGUCACACUGACACUGACAUACGGGUCAGACUCCUACGGGAGGCAGCAGUCGGGAAUUUUGGGCAAUGGGCGCAAGCCUGACCCAGCAACGCCGCGUGAAGGAUGAAAUUUUUCGGAAUGUAAACUUCGCAAGAACAGGAAGAAUAAGUAGGGGACAAUACCCCCUAUGAUGACGGUACUGUUUGUAAGCUCCGGCUAACUCCGUGCCAGCAGCCGCGGUAAUACGGGGGGAGCAAGCGUUGUUCGGAUUUACUGGGCGUAAAGGGCGCGUAGGCGGCGUGACNAGUCACUUGUGAAAUCUCCGGGCUUAACUCGGAACGGUCAAGUGAUACUGUCGUGCUAGAGUACAGAAGGGGCAACUGGAAUUCUCGGUGUAGCGGUGAAAUGCGUAGAUUUCGAGAGGAACACCUGCGGCGAAGCGGGUUGCUGGGCUGAUACUGACGCUGAAGGCGCGAAAGCCAGGGGAGCCAACCGGGAUUAA
rnacentral:rRNA from 1 species